GAGUUGAUGAUCAAGGACAAGAUUGUGUAGAAGAUAAGGAUGAUGAGGAUAAUUAAAAUGUUUGAAUAUAAAACUUUAUAUUUUUAAAUUUAACUUUGGUGGAUAUUGAGACCUAUUUAUUUUUAUUUAAACUUUAAUCACGAAUUAUUUAAUUUUAUAAUUUUAUUUUAAUAAAUAUUAAAAUUAUAUAUUUAUUAUAAUAAUGAUAUUAUU
rnacentral:lncRNA from 1 species